AAUAUUCAAGUAAAACUUGACCUGCGGAGAGCUGUACAGGCAGACUAGUUUGGACCAGCUGCCCAGAGGCUUCGGGUGCUGUAGGCUGGGGGGGUCACUGUGGACAGAAAGGAUCUUACUGGCGGCAAGAGCAGCAGAAAUGCAGUCUCUACACUGUACAGACACAGAAUGGUGGCCAGAUUGAUUGUUUUAAGUAAAGCCUAAUAGGUGAUGGGUAAACAUACUCACUGAUAAAGAUGUAUCCUCUAUAGUCAUGUUAAAUUGGUAUGUCAUGGUGGAGGGAGGGUAGAGGGGCUUGGUGAAACUGCCCAGCAGGUGGCGCACCUCAUCACAUACAUGAGCCAUGGAGAUCAUUUCGCCUUGCCUUGAGUGAGCUCGAGCCCUGAACGCUUGCCUCCUGCUGGGGCGAGAACUGUGGACCCGCUUGGCCAGCUUGCGGAGGAAGAGGCAGCUGGGAAGCUGUUUGUAGAGAUUGCACAGAGUUUCCUCGUCGUGCAGGAAAUCCCUGAGACUCACACCGUUUUCCAACAGCAGACUCACAAACUGAGGCUUGUUACCAACCAGAGCUGAGAACAUGGCCCAAUGGAGGUCACUGGACUAAAGCACGAUAACAAGGCAGGAGGACAAGACACAGUCAGCAUCCCAGCACUCUUUUUGACUGUUUCUUGUAAUUCACUGUUUUUGUCAUGCA